GUAACGGCGAGUGAAGCGGUAACAGCUCAAAUUUGAAAUCUGGCCCUUUCAGGGUCCGAGUUGUAAUUUGUAGAAGAUGCUUCGGGUGUGGCUCCGGUCUAAGUUCCUUGGAACAGGACGUCAUAGAGGGUGAGAAUCCCGUAUGUGACUGGCUGCCUCCGCCCAUGUGAAGCUCUUUCGACGAGUCGAGUUGUUUGGGAAUGCAGCUCUAAAUGGGUGGUAAAUUUCAUCUAAAGCUAAAUAUUGGCCAGAGACCGAUAGCGCACAAGUAGAGUGAUCGAAAGAUGAAAAGCACUUUGGAAAGAGAGUUAAACAGUACGUGAAAUUGUUGAAAGGGAAGCGCUUGCAACCAGACUUGCGCCCCGUCGAUCAUCCUCCGUUCUCGGGGGUGCACUCGGCGGGGCUCAGGCCAGCAUCGGUUUCGGUGGUGGGAUAAAGGCCUUGGGAACGUAGCUCCUCUCGGGGAGUGUUAUAGCCCUCGGUGCAAUGCCGCCUACCGGGACCGAGGACCGCGCUUCGGCUAGGAUGCUGGCGUAAUGGUUG
rnacentral:rRNA from 2 species